rnacentral:lncRNA from 1 species
AGGGACGCAAUCACGUCUUGCUGUCAGGGCCCUGCGCUCCUCCACCCCUCCGUCUUGUUUCAGCUGAGGCAAGGGGAGGGAGGGUUACCAGAGGAGGUAUUUCCAUUCUGCGUUUCUCUCUCGCUGCCAUGACUGUAAUUCUACUCCUUCCUUAGCUGGGUGAUACCACCAGCUGUUGGUCACCGCAUCACCGGAGCCACCCCCGAGACGGCAGGUUUCUGGGUUCGGUUUAUGGGAGCAGGGGCUCUUGCCCUCGGCUGAGGCCUGGGCCUGCCCCACAGCGUCUCAUCCCUUCCGUCCAGGCCGCUGGUCUCCUCACUCUAAGAGAAUUGCUCCCACGUGCAGAGAUUCAGACUUCGAGGGUGCAUGCCAUCACCCUGGCCUGUCACUGCUGAUGCUGACGUCGCUCUCCUGGCUGAGGAGGUCAGGUGUCUCCAUGGUCCUGUAACUCUGUGUGUCCUGUUUCCAUCCUCUCCUCUGUGGAAGGAAGUGGCAUGGGGCCUACACUUCAAGAGUGGGGAGCAUCUCUCUGUCCACAACACGUGGAAUUCUUCUGCAUGGAGAUUUGUCCCUCCCCACCCCCACCCAUGUAUUUGAUCGCCAGCCCUUCAUUCCUGACCAUGGAGCUCAUUAUCUGGCUUUGACAUCUCCUUCCCCCACUUCGAGAGCCCAGCGUGAGGCUGGGCCUUCAGAAGUCCUCUCCGGAUCCCGGGAGUGGCUCAGAGCUGGACUGGAUUGGGGCAAAUCGCUUCCCUUCCCACUUUUCCCAGUUAAUACAACUUCCGGAGGAGUGUGUUGAGUGUGCGGUUUCCAUGAGUCACAAAGUCGGAGCCUGGAGCUUAGGCGGGGGCAUUUUCAAUAACAGCUUUAUUGAGGAAUGAUACACAUAUUAUAAAGUUUACCCUUUGAAAGAGUAUAAUUCAGUGGUUUCUUAGUAUAUUUACAGAGUUGUGCAACCAGCACCACUAUCUAAUUCUAGAACAUUUUCAUCACCCCACACGCAACCCCGCACCCAUUAACAGGCCCUCCCCGCUCCCUGCUCCCCCAGCUCU